AAAGUUGCGAGGAAGGGAGAAAAAAGAUCACCACUUAAACUUGGGAAAUUUGUUAUUUCCGCAAGGAAAAUUUGGUAUUUUCACAAGGCGUUUACUCACAUGAAUGUGGAUCCCAUUUACUAUUUAUGUGAGAAAUGUCGUGUGGAACUAUCAAAUUACCUUGUGGAAACAUCAAUUCCCUACACUCGUGAGAAGUCAUAUCUACGUCAGACAGACAAUCGAG
rnacentral:lncRNA from 1 species